GUUAAUAAAAAAGGUUGGGUAGGAUGGACAACUAAAGCACGGAUGUAAUCUGGAUGUGCUUCAAACUGCGUGACUUUUUCUCCAGUAUUAUAAUUGUAAACACGGACCUGGAAAUCAUCACUUCCACAAACAAACCAGUUUUUUCUAGCAAUAAAUGCACAGGCACGAAUAGGAACAUCAUUAAUGUCAAAACUCCGUACUAAGGUUUGAGUGUUGUAAUUCCAAAUACCAACUUGUCCAUUAUAAUGAGAUGCGAUAACCCACGGCUCCGUUGGAUGAAAAUCAACCGCUUUCACACGCUCGGUGUGAGAUAAGAGCUUUCUCUAAAUAUAAAGAUUGUUAGUAAUAAUCGACUUAAGUGCAAGGAUAAGUAUUGGUAAAUUACCUGAAAAUCUAGUCGCAUCAUUCUGCUUAUGGAUGACUUUCUGUAUAUCCAAUACUAUAGAAGAAAACUAUUAAAUAUUUAACAGAAGCCUUAUUAUGCCAGUUUCGGCUAUAUGGUCCUAUUUAGUAUUGGCAGAGGGUGUAGUGAACUGGUAGUGUCGAUUCCACAGUGAAAGGAA